AAGGCUCAUUAUUGAGAGCUUUUAUGCAUCAAACACCCCUUUGUCUAUUGUUUACAAUGUUACUUCCUCUAAAUGACCAAGAAUUGUGUAUACAAGUUGGUCCUCGAGUUUUGUGUUUCUUUGGGCACUAGCUAGGGAGCUGCCAGUGGAUAGAAUCCAAAUAAAAAAAUUCGUGAAGAAAUAUAUUGUCUGAAUUAUUAGUACAAAACAAAUAAAACUUUCAACAACGGAUCUCUAGGCUCUUGCAUCGAUGAAGAACGCAGUGAAAUGCGAUAAGUAAUGUGAAUUGCAGAAUCUCGUGAAUCAUCGAAUCUUUGAACGCACAUUGCGCCCUAUGGAAUUCUGUAGGGCAUGCCUGUCUGAGCGUCAGCAGCAAAAAAAAUCAAGAUCUUUGUAGGUAAAGAUUUGGAUUUGGUUAAGAGAUGUAAUCUGUGAAGAACCGGUUACUCUUUUGAAAUUUAAAGGCAGUAUUGAUCAAUCCAACUGUAAACGUGAUAAAACAUUUCGUUUUAUUGUUAGGAAUGAGCUUUUUGCUUGCCUAUAAACCCACUCAUCUUCAUGGUGGACCUCAGAUCAGGUAGGGAUACCCGCUGAACUUAAGCAUAUCAAUAAGCGGAGGACAAGAAACCAACAGGGAUUGCCUUAGUAACGGCGAGUGAAGCGGCAAAAGCUCAGAUUUGAAAUCUGUUGCCAUAGAGGCAUCCGAAUUGUAAUCUGUAGAGGAGUAUUUCGAGUAUGGCUUUGGCUUAAGUUCCUUGGAACAGGGCGUCAUAGAGGGUGAGAACCCCGUUUACGGCCUUUGUCUUAUGCUUAUGUGAAUCUCUUUCGAUGAGUCGAGUUGUUUGGGAUUGCAGCUCUUAAUGGGGUGGGUAAAUUUCCAUCUAAAGCUAAAUACUGGCAAGAGACCGAUAGCGCACAAGUAGAGUGAUCGAAAGAUGAAAAGAACUUCUGAACAGAGAGUUAAAUAGUACGUGAAAAUUGUUGAAAAGGGAAGCACUUACUACCAGA
rnacentral:rRNA from 1 species